rnacentral:tRNA from 1 species
CAGCUUUGUAGUUUAGUUAAAAUAUUAUUUUUGGGGAAUAAAGAACUUCUUAGAAGUUGGCUGG